rnacentral:rRNA from 1 species
CCUACGGGUGGCAGCAGUGAGGAAUAUUGGUCAAUGGGCGAGAGCCUGAACCAGCCAAGUCGCGUGAGGGAGUACUGCCCUAUGGGUUGUAAACCUCUUUUGUCGGGGAGCAAAAGCCGGACGUGUUCGGCUGUGAGAGUACCCGAAGAAAAAGCAUCGGCUAACUCCGUGCCAGCAGCCGCGGUAAUACGGAGGAUGCGAGCGUUAUCCGGAUUUAUUGGGUUUAAAGGGUGCGCAGGCGGAUUUUUAAGUCAGCGGUAAAAUCGUGGGGCUCAACCCCAUCCAGCCGUUGAAACUGGGGAUCUAGAGUGUGCGAGAGGUAUGCGGAAUGCGUGGUGUAGCGGUGAAAUGCAUAGAUAUCACGCAGAACCCCGAUUGCGAAGGCAGCAUACCGGUGCACAACUGACACUCAGGCACGAAAGCGUGGGUAUCGAACAGGAUUAGAUACCCCGGUAGUC